rnacentral:lncRNA from 1 species
GUAAGCUAAAAGUAAUGUGAGGAAAAUCAGCAGAAUUACUCUGUAGAAGGACUAUUAUUGGCUCUAAAACUCCCAGGAGUUCAUGGUCAACAUCCUCAUUUAUUUAGAGACAUGGACUGAGGCUACAGUCCUAGAAGAAUCAGACAGCUAAGAUUUAUUGGCUGACUUCAUUGUUUAAAAGCAAUACUCUCCUUAGAUUCAUACAACUUAAUUGCAUUUGCAAAGAAGAAUGUGAUGUCCUUUUCUGGUUAGCCAAACUGCUUGGGUGGCAGGACUGGGCAGAAAAGUUUGGGGAAUCCUUCAUCUUAAAUGUGGCUAUCAGUCUGACGGUAUCUCAAGUCCAUUUCUGUUACUACUUCUGUCCUUCUGAAACAUGUACUUAGGAUGGAUGAGGUCAUAACUAUUCGUUAUUGAAAAAAAGAUGUCUUCCACAAGCCUUCUGAAUGCCAAAGCUCCUGUUGUUGGAGACCUUGUCUAAGAAAGGAAAAAAUGAGCAUAUGUAAUUUCUGGGUGAGUUUACUGGCUUGUGUUCUCUUCAAAACUCCAUACAACUAUAUUUUGCAGAAGUCAAUGUUA